UACGUAGGGUGCGAGCGUUAAUCGGAAUUACUGGGCGUAAAGCGUGCGCAGGCGGUUUUGUAAGACAGGCGUGAAAUCCCCGGGCUCAACCUGGGAAUGGCGCUUGUGACUGCAAAGCUAGAGUGCGGCAGAGGGGGAUGGAAUUCCGGCGUGUAGCAGUGAAAUGCGUAGAUAAUGCGGAGGAACACCGAUGGCGAAGGCAAUCCCCUGGGCC
rnacentral:rRNA from 1 species